GAUGAACGCUGGCGGCGUGCCUAAUACAUGCAAGUCGAGCGAACAGAUGAGGAGCUUGCUCCUCUGACGUUAGCGGCGGACGGGUGAGUAACACGUGGAUAACCUACCUAUAAGACUGGGAUAACUUUGGGAAACCGGAGCUAAUACCGGAUAAUAUAUUGAACCGCAUGGUUCAAUAGUGAAAGACGGUUUUGCUGUCACUUAUAGAUGGAUCCGCGCCGCAUUAGCUAGUUGGUAAGGUAACGGCUUACCAAGGCAACGAUGCGUAGCCGACCUGAGAGGGUGAUCGGCCACACUGGAACUGAGACACGGUCCAGACUCCUACGGGAGGCAGCAAUAGGGAAUCUUCCGCAAUGGGCGAAAGCCUGACGGAGCAACGCCGCGUGAGUGAUGAAGGUCUUCGGAUCGUAAAACUCUGUUAUUAGGGAAGAACAAAUGUGUAAGUAACUAUGCACGUCUUGACGGUACCGAAUCAGAAAGCCACGGCUAACUACGU
rnacentral:rRNA from 1 species